GAUGAACGCUGGCGGCGUGCCUAAUACAUGCAAGUCGAGCGAACGGACGAGAAGCUUGCUUCUCUGAUGUUAGCGGCGGACGGGUGAGUAACACGUGGAUAACCUACCUAUAAGACUGGGAUAACUUCGGGAAACCGGAGCUAAUACCGGAUAAUAUUUUGAACCGCAUGGUUCAAAAGUGAAAGACGGUCUUGCUGUCACUUAUAGAUGGAUCCGCGCUGCAUUAGCUAGUUGGUAAGGUAACGGCUUACCAAGGCAACGAUGCAUAGCCGACCUGAGAGGGUGAUCGGCCACACUGGAACUGAGACACGGUCCAGACUCCUACGGGAGGCAGCAGUAGGGAAUCUUCCGCAAUGGGCGAAAGCCUGACGGAGCAACGCCGCGUGAGUGAUGAAGGUCUUCGGAUCGUGAAACUCUGUUAUUAGGGAAGAACAUAUGUGUAAGUAACUGUGCACAUCUUGACGGUACCUAAUCAGAAAGCCACGGCUAACUACGUGCCAGCAGCCGCGGUAAUACGUAGGUGGCAAGCGUUAUCCGGAAUUAUUGGGCGUAAAGCGCGCGUAGGCGGUUUUUUAAGUCUGAUGUGAAAGCCCACGGCUCAACCGUGGAGGGUCAUUGGAAACUGGAAAACUUGAGUGCAGAAGAGGAAAGUGGAAUUCCAUGUGUAGCGGUGAAAUGCGCAGAGAUAUGGAGGAACACCAGUGGCGAAGGCGACUUUCUGGUCUGUAACUGACGCUGAUGUGCGAAAGCGUGGGGAUCAAACAGGAUUAGAUACCCUGGUAGUCCACGCCGUAAACGAUGAGUGCUAAGUGUUAGGGGGUUUCCGCCCCUUAGUGCUGCAGCUAACGCAUUAAGCACUCCGCCUGGGGAGUACGACCGCAAGGUUGAAACUCAAAGGAAUUGACGGGGACCCGCACAAGCGGUGGAGCAUGUGGUUUAAUUCGAAGCAACGCGAAGAACCUUACCAAAUCUUGACAUCCUUUGACAACUCUAGAGAUAGAGCUUUCCCCUUCGGGGGACAAAGUGACAGGUGGUGCAUGGUUGUCGUCAGCUCGUGUCGUGAGAUGUUGGGUUAAGUCCCGCAACGAGCGCAACCCUUAAGCUUAGUUGCCAUCAUUAAGUUGGGCACUCUAAGUUGACUGCCGGUGACAAACCGGAGGAAGGUGGGGAUGACGUCAAAUCAUCAUGCCCCUUAUGAUUUGGGCUACACACGUGCUACAAUGGACAAUACAAAGGGCAGCGAAACCGCGAGGUCAAGCAAAUCCCAUAAAGUUGUUCUCAGUUCGGAUUGUAGUCUGCAACUCGACUACAUGAAGCUGGAAUCGCUAGUAAUCGUAGAUCAGCAUGCUACGGUGAAUACGUUCCCGGGUCU
rnacentral:rRNA from 1 species